CAAAACCCAGUAAAAAACCCACCGCCCGUUGUUCACAAACCCUGAAACCCAUCACGCAUGAAAACUAACAGAGAGAAAGUGGGGGUGGCAUAAAGAAGAGAGGGCUCAUGAAGGAACAUCGUCAAACUCCGGCGAUAACAACGGUUGUUUCUAGGGUUUUGAGACACGGCAGCGGCUUUGAAGGUCCGCCGCUGAUGACGACGGUGAUGGUGGAUUCGAGGUGGGUUUACAACUGAUUCGAGGUUGUUUGUGCUGCUAAGCAAGUGAAAAAGGUGAUCCGACGAAAUCAAGCGACAGCGAUUUCAACGCUAGAUCGGGAUCUUUUUUCCCAUCAUACCUGGUACUGUGGUUAAUUUUAAAUACACGGUCUUCAUACUUUUUGCUGUUAAUUUGUAGUUACAAAGUGAUAAUUUGCUCGGAUCUGCUUAGAAUUUUAUUGCUCCAUGAUUUUAAAAAUCUGGUGAUGGGAGUGUUGAGCUGUGUAGUGAGCAAAAUAUAAUGAUUGUUCUAGCGCCAUUAUUUAACUUCACUUUCGAUUGUGUUUGUGGUGCAAGUUCUCGAUAGUGUUUCCACCAUUUGAUAUAGUGUAAGCUACGUGUAACGGUGUAAGCAACUUUGAUGCUAGCUACAAUAGUAUAAAGCCCUGUGAGCCUGCAAGUGAUUCUUGCAUUCUGUCAAGAAGAAAAGUGCAUAGAGAACAUGGAAGGUUUGAUAAAGAAUAUGUGAUGCGGUGAGAAAGUUGGGCCAGAACCGUAAAUGCCUUUGUGUCGUUAUGUUGUCUAGAACUGCCAAGAGUGGGGUGAAGCUAGAGAUUGUUAUGACCAUUCCGAAACAGUGCAAUAUAGCUGAUCGUCCUGUUGGUUAUCAAGUGGAGCUUAUAUAGUGCCUUGAAAACUUGAAGGCUAUUAGUUUCGACGGAAGCUGUACCAGUCUUGUGCCAAGCGCAAGAGAGAGAGAGAAAGAAAUUACGGUAGAGAGAGGGAGAAAGAGGGAGAGAGAGGCAGGGAGGAGAAACGACGGCGUCGUUUAGGGUUCCGCCGCAAACACAACGCCGGUGGCGACUAUGGUUGACGUUGCAAGCUCCGGUUCUGUCAAGAGAAGAAUAUUUGAUACUUUUUCAGCAUAAUUCGGUAAUCUUGAAUCGGUUCCGGUGAAGCUCCGAUGAACCGUUCAACACUUACAUGUCUCAGAUCUGUUUAGAUCGGUGACUCUCAGGCCACCAUCGAUGGGUUAGGUUUCACGGCUUUCCCAUUGAUUGAGGAUAUCUCAGGAGCCACGCGAUGACAUUGUGGUUGUAGUAGAUUUAGAUGGCGAUGAAAGGUUAAUGUGGUGAUUUUGAAAGUGUUUUGGUCUCGAAAUAUUUUCUCAAUUUGUUAGUGGGAGGGAGCUGUGGCACAUGAAGACUUUGAGGGGAAUAAAGUGACUAUUGGAGCUGGUGAUUUGCAGUGGAUGACUGACAGAUAGACAUAAGAGGGAUGGGAAUCAUUGGGACGGCUACUCGUGUAUGGAUUGAUAGAUAAAAAUUAUUGAGCUUUGGAAACCCAAAACAUAUCGGAUGGGGCUUCUGGUGUGGAAGUGAUAAAAAAGUCAAGGGUCGAGUUCGGUAUCAGGUGAUACCUUAGCCGAGUAAAAGGUUGCGAGCAUGCAUACUUUUUUGUCACUGUCGAUCACGAUUUCAUUUCUCAUUUUUAUUAACAGAUCUCUUUCGUCUAGGGUUUUUGAAGACUAUUAAGAUGCUUUCAAUGAUGACUGUGAGCCUCAGACUCAAAGAUCAUGAUGUAUGAUUUAGAUGCAUAGACAGGUUACCAUCUUCGGUAUAGAAAGGACUUUGUACAACAUUUAUUGUUAUUUUUUUUAUUUUUGGCACUAACUAGGCGGAAUACUUUAUAAAACAAAUAUUUUAAUUCGUC